ACACACACAAACACACACACACACACACACACACAGUAACUGAAAGAACAGGUUUAUCGCAUCAUGAAUCCAGCACCGCCCCUUAUGCCCUGAUGUCUGAGAGCCCUAGUUGGACACACACACCUGAUCUUGAGCACCUGGCCGUGAGGAGAGCGCAGGGAACCAAACGACGGCAUGUCUCAGGAGAAGAAGGAGAGGGACGGAGGAAGGAGAGGAGAAGAAGAAGAAGAACAAAGGGUUCUUCGGGACUUUAUCGCCAACGAAAGGACAGAUGAUCCUGCCGCUGGAGAG